AACGAACGCUGGCGGCAUGCCUAACACAUGCAAGUCGAACGAAGUCUUCGGACUUAGUGGCGCACGGGUGCGCAACGCGUGGGAAUCUGCCCUUAGGUACGGAAUAACUCAGGGAAACUUGUGCUAAUACCGUAUGAUGUCUUCGGACCAAAGAUUUAUCGCCUAGGGAUGAGCCCGCGUAGGAUUAGCUAGUUGGUGAGGUAAAGGCUCACCAAGGCGACGAUCCUUAGCUGGUCUGAGAGGAUGUUCAGCCACACUGGGACUGAGACACGGCCCAGACUCCUACGGGAGGCAGCAGUGGGGAAUAUUGGACAAUGGGCGAAAGCCUGAUCCAGCAAUGCCGCGUGAGUGAUGAAGGCCUUAGGGUUGUAAAGCUCUUUUACCCGGGAAGAUAAUGACUGUACCGGGAGAAUAAGCCCCGGCUAACUCCGUGCCAGCCGCCGCCGUAA
rnacentral:rRNA from 1 species